GUGCUAUGCACAGGAGAUAUGCUCAGGGCCUUGGCAUGGGGGUGGCAAGGUUACAGGGAUUCUGGACAUCCUUGAUUCCUGCGAAACUCUGCUGCAGCCUUCAUCUCCAUCUCCAUCUCCCUGCUGGGGUCGGGCCUCCCGCUAACGUGCCAGUGGACCAGUAGGGGAACCGCAGGCGGAGAGAAAAGGACUGGGGCUUGCCAAGAGGCCAGAUUUGAUAAGAAUUUACUGUGUCUACCAUGCUGGCUCCUUGGAAGAAAAGUUAUGACAAACCUAGACAACGUAUUAAAAAAGAGAGACAUCACUGUGAUGACAAAGAUCUAUAUAGUCAAAGCUAUGGUUUUCCCAGUAGUCACGUAUGGAUGUGAGAGUUCGACCAUGAAGAAGGCUAAGGACCGAAGAAUGAAUACUUUCAAACUAUGAUGCUGGAGAAGACUCUUGGGAGUCCCUUAGACAGUAAGGAGAUCAAACUAGCCAAUCCUAAAGAAAAUCAACCCUGAUUAUUCAUUGGAAGGACUGAUGCUGAAGCUGAAGCGCCAAUACUUUGACCACCUGAUGUGAAGAGCUGACUCAUUUGAAAGGACCCUGAAGCUGGGGAAGAUUGAAGGCAGGAGGAAAGGGGGACGACAGAGAAUGAGUUGGUUGGAUGGCAUAAUUGACUCAAUGAACAUGAGUUUGAGCAAACUCUGGGAGACAGUGAUGGACAGGGAAGCCUGGUAUGCUGCAGUCCCUGGGGUCACAGAGAGUCGGACACGACUUAGAACAACAACCGCGUUCUGGGUGUAUUAGUUAGACAUGGAUGUGUUACCCAUGUCUUUAUUUUCUUGUUUCUGAUGCUUUGACAUCUGGGGCUUCAGCCCCUCCCAGGACCAGCUAAUUCCCAGAGACAGCAAACAAGUUGCCCUAGGGUGCCUUUCACAUGCAAACCAGUCGACUCAGAGCUCACAUCCCAAUUGGCUCCUCUCACACUCGGUGUCACUAUCCCCCUGCCCUAAUCACCCCAGGGUCAGUGCCAGGC
rnacentral:lncRNA from 1 species